AUCCACGGCCACAGCACGCUGAAUGCGCCCGAUCUAGUCUGAUCUCAGAAACUAAGCAGGGUCGGGAAUGGUUAGUCCUUGCAUGGGAGACCAUAUGGGAAUACCAGGUGCUGUAGGCU
ensembl:rRNA 5S_rRNA 5S ribosomal RNA